UCCGAAUUAGUGUAGGGGUUAACAUAACUCGCUUUCAAACAUCAUCUACUCUGUAGUUGAUUAAUGAUCCGAGUAGCCCCGGGUUCGAUUCCCGGAUUCGGAA
rnacentral:tRNA from 1 species